rnacentral:rRNA from 1 species
UACGUAGGGUGCGAGCGUUGUCCGGAAUUAUUGGGCGUAAAGAGCUCGUAGGCGGUGUGUCACGUCGGCCGUGAAAACCUGGGGCUUAACUCUGGGCGUGCGGUCGAUACGGGCAUCACUAGAGUUCGGCAGGGGAGACUGGAAUUCUUGGUGUAGCAGUGAAAUGCGUAGAUAUCAAGAGGAACACCAGUGGCGAAGGCGAGUCCCUGGACAACACCUGACACUGAGGCACGAAAGCCGGGGGAGCAAACAGG